rnacentral:misc_RNA from 1 species
UGUAGGAGCGAGCCUGCUCGCGAUGGCGUCGGCACAUUCAACAUAAAUGGCGCCUGAUACACCGCUAUCGCGAGCAGGCUCGCUCCUACA